rnacentral:rRNA from 1 species
GAUGGUGCUUGCACCUGAUUGACGAUGGAUCACCAGUGAGUGGCGGACGGGUGAGUAACACGUAGGUAACCUGCCCCGGAGCGGGGGAUAACAUUUGGAAACAGAUGCUAAUACCGCAUAACAACAAAAGCCACAUGGCUUUUGUUUGAAAGAUGGCUUUGGCUAUCACUCUGGGAUGGACCUGCGGUGCAUUAGCUAGUUGGUAAGGUAACGGCUUACCAAGGCGAUGAUGCAUGGCCGAGUUGAGAGACUGAUCGGCCACAAUGGAACUGAGACACGGUCCAUACUCCUACGGGAGGCAGCAGUAGGGAAUCUUCCACAAUGGGCGCAAGCCUGAUGGAGCAACACCGCGUGAGUGAAGAAGGGUUUCGGCUCGUAAAGCUCUGUUGUUGGAGAAGAACGUGCGUGAGAGUAACUGUUCACGCAGUGACGGUAUCCAACCAGAAAGUCACGGCUAACUACGUGCCAGCAGCCGCGGUAAUACGUAGGUGGCAAGCGUUAUCCGGAUUUAUUGGGCGUAAAGCGAGCGCAGGCGGUUGCUUAGGUCUGAUGUGAAAGCCUUCGGCUUAACCGAAGAAGUGCAUCGGAAACCGGGCAACUUGAGUGCAGAAGAGGACAGUGGAACUCCAUGUGUAGCGGUGGAAUGCGUAGAUAUAUGGAAGAACACCAGUGGCGAAGGCGGCUGUCUGGUCUGCAACUGACGCUGAGGCUCGAAAGCAUGGGUAGCGAACAGGAUUAGAUACCCUGGUAGUCCAUGCCGUAAACGAUGAGUGCUAGGUGUUGGAGGGUUUCCGCCCUUCAGUGCUGGAGCUAACGCAUUAAGCACUCCGCCUGGGGAGUACGACCGCAAGGUUGAAACUCAAAGGAAUUGACGGGGG